rnacentral:pre_miRNA from 1 species
UGCACAAUUGCUGGAUCAUAUGGUAAGAUUAUGUUUAGUUUUAUAAGAAACAACCACACUGUUUUCCAAAGUGGCUGUACCAUUUUGCAUUCCCACCAGCAAU